AGAAAAAAACAAAAUAUGAGAAAAAAAAUCACGGAGAGUUCGUUUUUAAAGUCAAAAUACUGUUGACGGAUUCAAAUCAAACAAAUUGAAAAAAUUAUAUAGUAAAAUCAAAAUUUAAAAAACUAAACAGCAAUUCAAAAUAUUUCAUAAUUUAGAUAAAUUCUAUAAAUUUUUUACUUUAUUAAUAAAAUAUCUUAUUCCU
rnacentral:lncRNA from 1 species